GAUGAACGCUGGCGGCGUGCCUAACACAUGCAAGUCGAACGGAGUGCUCAUGAAGGAGUUUUCGGACAACGGAGUGAGUUACUUAGUGGCGGACGGGUGAGUAACGCGUGAGUAACCUGCCUUGGAGAGGGGAAUAACACAUCGAAAGGUGUGCUAAUACCGCAUAAUGCAUACGAAUCACAUGGUUGGUAUGCCAAAGACUUAUCGCUCUGAGAUGGACUCGCGUCUGAUUAGCUAGUUGGUGAGGUAACGGCUCACCAAGGCGACGAUCAGUAGCCGGACUGAGAGGUUGAACGGCCACAUUGGGACUGAGACACGGCCCAGACUCCUACGGGAGGCAGCAGUGGGGAAUAUUGGGCAAUGGGCGCAAGCCUGACCCAGCAACGCCGCGUGAAGGAAGAAGGCUUUCGGGUUGUAAACUUCUUUUAUCAGGGACGAAACAAAUGACGGUACCUGAUGAAUAAGCCACGGCUAACUACGUGCCAGCCGCCGCUGUAA
rnacentral:rRNA from 1 species